AUGGGGAGAAGGACUUGUCCUUGCUCCUCGCGUGUAGCAGAUGCACAGAGCCUGCGCCGGACGCCGCUGACGGUCCUCAUCGAAUUCUGUGUUGGCCACACAAGGCCCGGUGCUAAUGAGCCCUGGCUCCAGCCCUGCGCCGCCUCCGCCCCCUCCUCGGCCUCCAUUCCUGCGAGCUCAAGCGCUCCGCGAGGCAAAACCCCACCCCGACCCCCGCCUUCCGCGCCGGCUGAUGAGGUGCCGGAGAGAGCCCUGUUACUUCCCUUCCGCCCGGCACGAGGCGCGGGGCUUUGGUUUUAUUACGUGGCCCAUAAAUCACGGCCGGCACACGCUGCGGGGCCUGGGGCCCUCCGUGCCCUCCUGCGCUCUGUAAUCCUGUGCAAGGCUCUGAGCACAGCCGGUGUGGCUGGGACCCACUUAGCCCUUCCAGUCCGGCCUUCAGCCACCAAGGGAACCCGCUUGGCCGGUUUUGCAGCCCGGGGCUGUCAGGCUCUGCGGAGGCCUUGCCCGAUUGGAUUCCAAGUGCCCUCCACAAAGAAUAAAGGUCACGCUGGGGGACGGAGUGGCUUUCUGCGGGCUGUGGAUCUUAGCUUCCUGCGAGCACAGCCUCCUGCGAGCACAGCCUCCUGCAAAAACGCGUAUCUUCCUGCAAAAGAAAAAGCACGUCUUCCUCCUGGCCUGAAAUCUACUUCUUAAUGAAAGCAUCGGAGGUCAGAGCCCGGGUGUUGUGCUGCCUCAGCUGUUGGAAAAGCAAGGAGAGGUCUUGGAGAUCCUCAUUUCCGUCACAGCGGCUGAAGGAAGAGGCCAGGGGAGGCCAGGAGGAAAGCGGCCUUGGGGUACGGAUGUGCAGAAUUGGCAAGUCCACGGACACAGGAAGUGAGUUCGGGGAGGCCAGGGCUUGGGAAGCGAGGUGGGCAGGGGCGGCUACUGGGGAGAGAGUCUCCUUUCGGGGGUGGGCAUGUCCUGAGACACAGCAGCGGUGGCGGGUACACAGCACAGACCCUCAGUCAUCCAUUUCAAAAUGGUGCGCUUUAGGAAAUGUACAUUUGUCUCUAUUUUUUUAAGUGGAUCGUGCGCCUCCUGUUGAUCUGUUGCCAUGAGGUGGUUCCUAUUCUCAAACAGAAUCUGAUACAAUGAGUCAGCAGCAGACCGGGCCAAAGGUAGGAACGGCCGGAGUGUCCGUGGAUGGGUGAAGAGAUGGAGAAAAUGCAGUUCGGCCACUCGGUGGAAUAUUGCACAGCCAGGAAAAAUGAGCAAAGCCCCGAUACCCGGCACGGUGUGAAUAAACUCUGCAGGCGCAUUGCUCCGUCAGUGAAGCCACACGUGCAGUUUGCCUUCCUCUUCCAAGGAGCUCUUUACAUGCCCGCUUCUCUGUGUGUGCAGUGCUCACCGUUACCUCACGAAACCUUCUGCACAAACGGGGCAGGGCUAUUCAUCUUUGGCCUGUGGUCCAUUCACGCCGGGGAGUACGAUACAGCCACGAAAAGGAACGGGCUCUGACAAUGGCCACAACACCGAUGGACCCUGAGGCUGGGGGGCUCCGUGGGAGAAGGCAACAGGAGGACGCAGAACGUGUGGCUCCCCUGGUGUGAGAUGCAGGUACAGGUGCAGCCAGAGACAGGACGCGGGGCGGGCAGAUCCGCAGAGACAGGACGUGGGUUGGCGGUUCUUGGGCUGGGGGAGCGGGAGGCAUGGAGAACGGGUGGGGUCUCCUUGUGUGGGAUGAGAAUGUUCUGGACCCGCUGGAGGUGCUGGUGGCCCAGCAGGUGAGUUUGCAAAAUACCCGACUGUCCGAGCCGGAAAAGCCAAGCGAGU
rnacentral:lncRNA from 1 species